rnacentral:pre_miRNA from 1 species
GGUUUUCCAUGUGUAAGAGCUAUUAUGCUAUGCUAUUGCACAUGUUGUACCAA